CGCAAAACGCAAAAAGAAACAGAAUGCAAGUGCAAAGGUAAUCGAAAUUUGCAAUAAAAGACAAGACACAAACAAGACGAAAAUUUAUCAAAAAAAUACGUGCUCUUACAUUAAGUAAAACUUUUCAAAUUACCAAAAAAUAAAAAAGUUUUGCUCCCAAGAAAAACCUAUCUGGUUUAAUGAAACUUUUGAAACCUAGCUGGGUGCAUCAUGACGAUAAGCCAAUAUUCUCCGUGGAUGUGCACCAGGAAUGUCUUAAAUUUGCCACUGGCGGUCAGGGCUUGGAUUCCGGGCGUGUCGUGAUAUGGAAUUUAUUACCAGUACUAUCGGAAAAAGUAGAACAGGAUGAAAACGUACCAAAGAUGCUAUGCCAAUUGGACAAUCAUUUGGCAUGUGUAAAUUGCGUUCGUUGGUCACCUAAUGGUCAAAUGCUAGCUUCGGGGUCGGAUGAUAAAUUGGUUAUGAUUUGGAGAAUGUCAAAGGGACCAAGUGGAGUUUUCGGUACGGGAGGUCUUCAAAAAAAUGCCGAAUCAUGGAAAUGUACGGCUACUCUACGUGGGCACUCAGGGGAUGUGCUUGACCUGGCUUGGUCUCCUAAUGAACGAUGGUUAGCCAGUUGUAGUAUUGAUAAUACCAUCAUCAUCUGGGAUGUACAAUCUUUUCCCAAUAUGGUUACAACUUUGAGGGGCCACACUGGGUUGGUUAAAGGAGUAGCGUGGGAUCCCCUGGGGAAGUUUUUGGCAUCUCAAAGUGAUGACCGAAGUGUUAAAAUGUGGAAGACCAGUGAUUGGAGUUGUAGCAGCACUAUUACUGAGCCCUUUAAAGGUUGCGGCGGCACCACUCAUAUACUUCGGUUAUCUUGGUCCCCGGAUGGAUUGUACCUAGUGUCAGCACAUGCUAUGAACGGCGGAGGCCCUACUGCACGCAUUAUAGAACGAGAGGGAUGGAAAUGUGACAAAGACUUUGUAGGUCAUAGAAAAGCUGUAACAUGCGUUCGGUUCCACGACACAGUCUUGACAAGGCAGGCAUCUAACGCAGAUAGAAAACUUCAGUAUUGUUGUAUGGCGAUGGGCUCGAGAGAUCGAUCGUUAUCAGUUUGGAUGACUGCAUUAAAUCGACCAUUAGUCGUUAUACACGAUCUAUUCAGUGAUAGCAUAUUGGAUCUUUCUUGGGGACCAGCAAAAUGUAUUUUGAUGGCAUGUAGUGGCGAUGGAACAGUGGCUUGCUUGCAAUUUUCUGAAAGCGAACUUGGAACUCCUGUUUCAGAUGAAGAAAAGAACUCGUUGUUUCAAAAAACAUACGGAAAAAGUGUAACCCUUGAAAACGGCUCUAGUGGUGGAGCUGACAUACUGAUUGAAAAUCCCGAACUUCUGGGCGAGACACAAGAGAAGCCUAUGCCUCCCACCUUGCCAACAGCAAAUAUUAGUAAACAAAACUACAACGUUACUCAGCCAACCGCGUUGGUUGCCAUAUCGAACGGACAUUCCGAAUUGCCUUCUACAAAUUUGUGUUCAACAGGAAGCGAAGUGCGGCCAAGCAAUACUAAUGCAGUUAGGAAACAAACAGAAACUAGAACUGCUGACGGAAAACGACGCAUUACUCCAGUUUUUGUAGCACUUAAUCAAGAUGUGAGUGAGUCUCCGAACACGUCGCACCUUGUAUCGAAUUCUACAGCUGUAACAGCAUGGAAUUCCAAUACAUCAACAGCAAUAACGACAGCAAGCAUAUCUGCAGAAGUGAAUCCGCCAGGAACGAGCACAUUUGCCAAACCGACGAUAACUGAGGCCCAAGAAAUAUGCUUGGAUGCCCGACUUAUAAAAACUACAUCAUCUGCUGCAAAAUUACAGCCGCAAAAAGCGGAAAAUAGUUCUGUGAAGACAUUCCCGCUCAUUGUCACUUCAAAGUCAUCUGCCAGCGCCCCCUUCAGCGGAGCAACCACCUUGGCAACUGAUCAUUUACCCACAGCUGUGAAGCCAUACCAAGCUUCUACUACUGGUCCAAAAUUGGUUAUUAAUAGCAACACAAAAUGUGAAUUCCAAAAAACUGCCCUAGACCAUAGAGUUCAUGUUCACAAUGGGUAUUUAGGUACUGGUAGUGGGUUUUUGGCAAAAGUGACCGGCUACAAUAUACAAAGGCCGGCUCAGAUAGAAAAACUUUGGGAAAUUUUAGUUGGUUCGCCAAUUGUUAAUUUGAAUUUUUGCCAUAAGCACGUGAUGCUGUGCAGUAUGGAUGGUACAUUGCGUUUGAUGGAUAUGCAUACAGGCAGAGCCAAAAUGCCCGUUAUAAGUAUAAGUUCAGCUGCGGUUCAAUGCACUUUCUGUCCCAGUGGUCGCUUGGUUGGUGUGGUUACAGAUUGCGGCACUUUACGCAUCUGGCACAUUGAGGAGCGGCGUAUAUUUUUAUCAACGACUUGUAAUGAUAUUGGCGGAAAGCUAGGCACGGUUGUACAAUUUAAUAUCACAGAAGACGGCAUACCUAUGAUUUUAUAUGCCAAUGGUAGUGCUUAUUCAUAUUCGCCGCAACUGCAAUCAUGGCUUGUACUCAAUAAUAAGGAUCCUCUAGUACGUCAUGGUCUCCAAACCACGAUUCCUAAAGAUUUUGAGAAAAACUAUUUUUCAUAUCCAUUGAUUUCCACACAAGCUGCAACCAAUACUUUUGCUGCCAUGAACACUUCAGUAGAUAUGAAUAUGCAGGACUGGCAGUCCAGUGCCAAACUGAAUUUUAUAGAAAAUCAACUUAUGAUAGCAGAAGCCAUUAAUUCCCCCGAAGAAUUGAUUUUCUGGUACAACAUGUACGCGUAUCAGCUGGCGCUUAGCGGGACUGAACAGCGUUUAAGGAUAUUACUGGAUGAUUUGCUGGGCUCUUCAUCACGUAAUGGCGGGCUCGAUCACAAAAUACUGGCAGUGCCCAAGCAUCAAUUAUUAGAGAACGUGCUGAAUACACUUAAACCGCAUGUAAAAUGGCAGCGGUUGUACAUGGAAUAUCACGAGCUGUUCGAGUUUUGUAUGAGACCGGGUUCAAGUGUUGUCACAGAUGUCGUUAUGACGACUCCUCCAAAUACGAAUAUGGAAACCGAGGCAAAUUUGUCGAAAUCAAGGGAUGUAAUGUAGGCAUUGUAUAUUUUCGAAUUGUUAACGAAAAAAGAAACAAACGACUGCCAACCGUUAUAGUGCGAUUAAACGUUAAAUGGGCCUAAACCAGUUAAACGACCAAAGUCGGCCUGUAAACAGGUUAAAUACCAUGCAAUUAUUGUUGAAAAAUUUAAAAACAAGUUCAGCACAGAGUUGUAUUAGAAAUCUUUAACAAAUCAUGGAGAAACACAUAGUGGAACGUGUAUUUGCCUAAGGACUGCCACCACAGAGUUAUUCCCCAUUUGGGCAUUGUUUAUGCUGCUACAAGUAGCCUGUUCGACAACCUGUAAAUUCGUUCCCACGACAGUCGGGCCUACGUAACCGGAACGACCCAGAAUUAUAUUUGGCAGAGGAAUCUCCAAAAACCACAAUAAAAACCUGAUAAUUAUCAAAAAGUAUCAGAUUUGGCGUUCAUAUAAGCGAACACUUCCAAAGUUGUUUAUUCUUACUGGUAAAAAUGUUCUACAAGAAAAACAGCUGAUCUGAUUGAAAUGUAUAGCUUCUUUUACUUUGAAAUAUAUACAUAGCUUUACA